AUUGAACGCUGGCGGAAUGCUUUACACAUGCAAGUCGAACGAUGAACCUUAGCUUGCUAGGGGGAUUAGUGGCGAACGGGUGAGUAAUAUAUCGGAACGUACCUUGUAAUGGGGGAUAACUAGUCGAAAGAUUAGCUAAUACCGCAUACGCCCUGAGGGGGAAAGUAGGGGAUCUUCGGACCUUACGUUAUAAGAGCGGCCGAUAUCUGAUUAGCUAGUUGGUGGGGUAAUGGCCUACCAAGGCGACGAUCAGUAGCUGGUCUGAGAGGACGACCAGCCACACUGGAACUGAGACACGGUCCAGACUCCUACGGGAGGCAGCAGUGGGGAAUUUUGGACAAUGGGCGCAAGCCUGAUCCAGCCAUUCCGCGUGAGUGAAGAAGGCCU
rnacentral:rRNA from 1 species